GUCGUACAGAAGUUAUUUAUGGAAAACUCUUUUUAAAAGAUAUUCGUUUUUUAUACAUUUUAUCUUAAUUUUUAUCAAUGUUUUAUCAAUCAAUUGCCCGUAUUUAAUAAAUAAGAAGCAAAUAUAUAGCAGACAAUGUAAUAACCUUAGGGUAAUUGACAGAAUUACUCAAAAAUAUUUUGCUACCUAAAAACUGAUUUAUGAAUGUAUAUGCAUAGUUCUCAUCAGUCGGAAAUACAGAUAAACGCUUUCAUUUGUUGUAUUUUUGAUCCUGAAAGAAAACAGAACAACAAAAGAGCGAAUCAUACCACUGUCUGAGGUUGUGCUUCAAGUCGAACGCACCCAUUUUUAAAUCGUUCACAGCUGAGCAUCGCGAGAGGCGGAUCUGCGCCAGAGCGCACAUGUGAAUGAGCUGCACAAAGUCA